GAUGAACGCUGGCGGCGUGCCUAAUACAUGCAAGUCGAGCGAACGGACGAGAAGCUUGCUUCUCUGAUGUUAGCGGCGGACGGGUGAGUAACACGUGGAUAACCUACCUAUAAGACUGGGAUAACUUCGGGAAACCGUAGCUAAUACCGGAUAAUAUUUUGAACCGCAUGGUUCAAAAGUGAAAGACGGUCUUGCGGUCACUUAUAGAUGGAUCCGCGCUGUAUUAGCUAGUUGGUAAGGUAACGGCUUACCAAGGCAACGAUGCAUAGACGGCCUGAGAGGGGGAUCGGCCACACUGGAACUGAGACACGGUCCAGACUCCUACGGGAGGCAGCAGUAGGGAAUCUUCCGCAAUGGGCGAAAGCCUGACGGAGCAACGCCGCGUGAGUGAUGAAGGUCUUCGGAUCGUAAAACUCUGUUAUUAGGGAAGAACAUAUGUGUAAGUAACUGUGCACAUCUUGACGGUACCUAAUCAGAAAGCCACGGCUAACUACGUG
rnacentral:rRNA from 1 species